rnacentral:rRNA from 1 species
AGUGAACGCUGGCGGCGUGCUUAACACAUGCAAGUCGAACGAGAACGGGUUAUAGCUUGCUAUAAUUGUCAGCUAAGUGGCGCACGGGUGAGUAAUGUAUAGGUAAUAUGCCUCUUACUAAGGGAUAACAAAUGGAAACGUUUGCUAAUACCUUAUACUCCUUAUUAACAUAAGUUAAUAAGGGAAAGAUUUAUUGGUAAGAGAUUAGCCUGUAUUGUAUCAGUUAGUUGGUGGGGUAAUGGCUUACCAAGACUAUGACACAUAACUGGUUUGAGAGGAUGAUUCGUCACACUUGAACUGAGACACUGUCCAGACUCCUACGGGAGGCAGCAGUGGGGAAUAUUGAACAAUGGACGAAAGUCUGAUGCAGCAACGCCGCGUGGAGGAUGACACAUUUCGGUGCGUAAACUCCUUUUAUAUGAGAAGAUAAUGACGGUAUUAUAUGAAUAAGCACCGGCUAACUCCGUGCCAGCCGCCGCGGUAA